rnacentral:rRNA from 1 species
AGAGUUUGAUCCUGGCUCAGGAUAAACGCUGGCGGCGUGCCUAACACAUGCAAGUCGAACGUCCUCCCCCGACUUCGGAAGGGGGAGGGAGUGGCGGACGGGUGAGUAACACAUGGGUGACCUGGCCUUUGGUGAGGGAUACCGGCGAGAAAUCGCCGACAAGCCCGCAUGAGGUCUCUGUCGUAGGGGAGAGAGAGCAA